AAGCUGUGGAAGCACAUUUCUUGUGUGACCGCGUACUUUUUGUAGAACGGGCCAACGAGUUACGUUAAGUAGCAAGGUUAAGCACUUAAGGUGCGGAGCCGUAGCGAAAGCGAGUUUUAACUGAGCGUUCAGUUACUUGACGUAGACCCGAAACCGGGCGACCUACCCAGGAGCAGGAUGAAGCGAAAGUAAAAUUUCGUGGAGGUCCGAACCCACGAGCGUUGAAAAGCUCGGGGAUGACUUGUGGGUAGCGGUGAAAUUCCAAUCGAGCCCGGAGAUAGCUGGUUCUCCCCGAAAUAGCUUUAGGGCUAGCCUCAAGGUGAGAGAUACGGAGGUAGAGCACUGAAUGUCCUAGGGGGUAUUGCACCUACCGAAGACUAUCAAACUCCGAAUGCCGUCAUCUUAUACUUGGGAGUCAGACUGUGGGUGAUAAGAUUCAUAGUCGAAAGGGCAACAGCCCAGAUCGUCAGCUAAGGUCCCUAAAUGUAAGUUAAGUGGUAAAGGAUGUGGGAUUGCACAGACAACCAGGAUGUUGGCUUAGAAGCAGCCACUCAUUCAAAGAGUGCGUAAUAGCUCACUGGUCGAGUGAUCCUGCGCCGAAGAUUUCCGGGGCUAAAACUUACUACCGAAGCUACGGCAUCAGUAAUGAUGGGUAGGGGAGCUUCCCAUACGGGUUGAAGCAUGACCGUAAGGACAUGUGGACAGUAUGGGAGUGAGAAUGUUGGCAUGAGUAGCGAGAUGUGGGUG
rnacentral:rRNA from 1 species